UUUAAAUGGCCGCAGUAUUUUAACUGUGCAAAGGUAGCAUAAUCAUUAGUUUUUUAAUUGAAAGCUGGUAUGAAUGGUUGGACGAGAUAUUAACUGUUUCAUUAAAAUUUAUAAUAGAAUUUUAUUUUUUAGUAAAAAAGCUAAAAUAUAUUUAAAAGACGAGAAGACCCUAUAAAUCUUUAUAUUUAUAUUUUUAUAUUUUUAUAGUUUUUUUUUGGUAUAAUAAUUUAUAAUAUUUUAUUGGGGUGAUAUUAAAAUUUAAUAAACUUUUAAUUUAGAAAUUCAUUAAUUUAUGAAUUAUUGAUCCAUUAUUAAUGAUUAAAAAAAUAAGUUACUUUAGGGAUAACAGCGUAAUUUUUUUGGAGAGUUCUUAUCGAUAAAAAAGAUUGCGACCUCGAUGUUGGAUUAAGAUAUAAUUUUAGGUGUAGUCGCUUAAAUUUUAAGUCUG
rnacentral:rRNA from 1 species